rnacentral:rRNA from 1 species
UACGAAGGGGACUAGCGUUGUUCGGAAUUACUGGGCGUAAAGCGCACGUAGGCGGCUUUGCAAGUUCGAUGUGAAAUCCCUCGGCUCAACCAAGGAAGUGCAUCGAAAACUGCAGAGCUUGAGUACAAAAGAGGAUCGCGGAAUUCCCGGUGUAGAGGUGAAAUUCGUAGAUAUCGGGAGGAACACCAGUGGCGAAGGCGGCGAUCUGGGUUGAUACUGACGCUGAGGUGCGAAAGCGUGGGGAGCAAACAGG